UGGGGAAUAUUGGACAAUGGGCGAAAGCCUGAUCCAGCUACGCCGCGUGUGUGAUGAAGGCCUUAGGGUUGUAAAGCACUGUUGUAGGGGAAGAAUAAAAUGACGGUACCCUAUGUAGAAAGCACCGGCUAACUCCGUGCCAGCAGCCGCGGUAAUACGGAGGGUGCAAGCGUUGCUCGGAAUUACUGGGCGUAAAGGGUGCGCAGGCGGUCCUUUAAGUCAGAUGUGAAAGCCCAGGGCUCAACCCUGGAACUGCAUCUGAAACUGGAGGACUUGAGUAUGAGAGAGGAAAGCAGAAUUCCUGGUGUAGAGGUGAAAUUCGUUGAUAUCAGGAGGAAUACCGGCGGCGAAGGCGGCUUUCUGGCUCAUAACUGACGCUCAUGCACGAAAGUGUGGGUAGCAAACAGG
rnacentral:rRNA from 1 species